GAAGCAAGCCAGACCGCCGCUGGUGCGAUCGUGGAAACACGGCACUGGAGGAAGGUCCGGACUGCAUAGAGCGGCGUAGCAGCUAACGGCUGCCCGGCGAAAGCCGAGGAUCAGAGCAACAGAGACGAGUCGGUGCGGACGCAAGUCCGCAUCGGGUGAAACGGGCAAUCUCUACGCGCAGCAACACCAAGUAGGCCAGCGUCGAUGCGGCUCGCAGAGCUGGCGGGUAGGUGGCACCGAGCCGGGCAGUGAUGCCCGGCCCAGAUGAAUGGCGGUCACGCGGAAACUCGCAAGACGAUCCGUGCACAGAAUCCGGCCUAUCGGCUUGCUUCACAC
rnacentral:RNase_P_RNA from 2 species